AUUGAACGCUGGCGGCAGGCCUAACACAUGCAAGUCGAGCGAGCGGCGGACGUGUGAGUAAUGUAUGGGGCUGUGCGCGGUAGAGGGGGAUAACUAAUGGAAGCUGUGGCUAAUACCGCAUACUAUGGGGUGAACCCAUAGGGGUUUAGCUAGGAGGUGGGGUAAAGGCUCACCUAGGCGACGAGCUCUAGCUGGUCUGAGAGGAUGAUCAGCCACACUGGGACUGAGACACGGCCCAGACUCCUACGGGAGGCAGCAGUGGGGAAUAUUGCACAAUGGGCGCAAGCCUGAUGCAGCCAUGCCGCGUGUAUGAAGAAGGCCUUAGGGUUGUAAAGGACUUUCAGCGGGGAGGCGUUACCCGCAGAAGAAGCACCGGCUAACUCCGUGCCAGCAGCCGCGGUAAUAC
rnacentral:rRNA from 1 species